GAUGAAGAACGUAGCGAAAUGCGAUAAGUAAUGUGAAUUGCAGAAUUCAGUGAAUCAUCGAAUCUUUGAACGCAUCUUGCGCUCCUUGGUAUUCCUUGGAGCAUGCCUGUUUGAGUAUCAUGAGCAAACCUCAAAGUCAAUUCCUUUUGUUAAUUCAAUUGGUUUUGCUUUGGACUUGGAGGUCUUGCAGAUUUCACAGUCUGCUCCUCUUAAAUGCACUAGCUGGAUCUCAGUAAUUAUGCUUGGUUCCACUCGGCGUGAUAAGUAUCACUCGCUGAGGACACUGUUAAAAAGGUGGCCAGGAAAAUACUGAUUGAACCGCUUCUAACGGUCUAUUAAGUUAGACAAUUACCCUUAAGUUUGAUCUCAAAUCAGGUAGGACUACCCGCUGAACUUAAGCAUAUCAAUAAGCGGAGGA
rnacentral:misc_RNA from 1 species